UAGGGAAUCUUCCACAAUGGACGCAAGUCUGAUGGAGCAACGCCGCGUGAGUGAAGAAGGUCUUCGGAUCGUAAAGCUCUGUUGUUGGUGAAGAAGGAUAGAGGCAGUAACUGGUCUUUAUUUGACGGUAAUCAACCAGAAAGUCACGGCUAACUACGUGCCAGCAGCCGCGGUAAUACGUAGGUGGCAAGCGUUGUCCGGAUUUAUU
rnacentral:rRNA from 1 species